CCUACGGGUGGCAGCAGUGGGGGAUAUUGGACAAUGGGGGAAACCCUGAUCCAGCGACGCCGCGUGAGUGAAGAAGUAUUUCGGUAUGUAAAGCUCUGUUAGCAGGGAAGAAAGAAAUGACGGUACCUGACCAAGAAGCCCCGGCUAAAUACGUGCCAGCAGCCGCGGUAAUACGUAGGGGGCAAGCGUUAUCCGGAAUUACUGGGGGUAAAGGGAGCGUAGACGGUGAUGCAAGUCUGGAGUGAAAGGCGGGGGCCCAAACCCCGGACUGCUCUGGAAACUGUGUAACUUGAGUGCAGGAGAGGAAAGCGGAAUUCGUGGUGUAGCGGUGAAAUGCGUAGAUAUUAGGAGGAACACCGGUGGCGAAGGCGGCUUACUGGACUGUAACUGACGUUGAGGCUCGAAAGCGUGGGGAGCAAACAGGAUUAGAUACCCCAGUAGUC
rnacentral:rRNA from 1 species